rnacentral:misc_RNA from 1 species
UGCAGCUGACUUCUUUCCUUACGUUGGCUGGAUUAUUGAUAGACUCGCAGGUCUCCAUGGAAGGCUUGAAAGAAACUUUGAAGAAUUCGAUGCUUUCUAUGAAAAGGUUAUAGAUGAUCAUAUUAAAAAGGGAAAGGAAGAGGCCGGACAUGAAGAUUUUAUUGAUGUUUUACUGCUAGAGGUUGAGAGAUCUCAAACCGAAGCUGAUGAUUUUCAAUUCACCAAGGAUCACAUUAAAGCAAUUCUCAUGAACAUAUUUAUAGGAGGAGUUGACACUGGAACAACAACUAUGAUUUGGGUCAUGACAGAGCUGGCUAGACACCCUAGAGUUAUGAGAAAAGUGCAAGAAGAAAUCAGAACUUGUAUUGGAGAGAAAGGAAAAGUCUCUGAAAGUGACAUUGAGAAGCUUCAAUACCUAAGAAUGGUAUUGAAAGAAACUUAUAGACUGCAUCCAACAGGACUAUUAAUAAGAGAAGCUAUGUCCGAAAUCAACAUCAAUGGUUAUGUGAUUCAUCCCAAAACCCUCAUCCAAAUCAACGUGUUUGCAAUUGGAAGAGAUCCUACGAUUUGGAAAAACCCAGAAGAGUUUUAUCCUGAAAGGUUUAUGGACAGUCACAUUGACUUCACUGGGCAGAAUUUCGAGUUGUUACCAUUUGGUGCUGGCAGGAGAGGUUGUCCUGGCAUGGCUAUGGGACUGGCUACGGUGGAUCUUGCACUUGCAAACCUUCUGUUUCAUUUUGAUUGGAAGUUGCCUUAUAACAUGAAGGAGGAAGAUAUUAGCAUGGAAGAGGCACCUGGUCUUGUAACUUGCAAGAAAACACCUUUAUUACUUUUACCAGUUAAAUAUCCACUUGUAUAAUAGAAAAAUGCCAUGUCUGUCUGUACCUUGAUAAAAACUAUUUACCAUAAUAAUGAGCUUUAGCUCAGAAGCGUAAGAGACUGCCGAGGUGUAGAAUUUGAGUAUUGUAGCCAUUUGUAUCAAAAGAAAUAAGGCCACGUUUGGCAUGGCCCCCUCCUCCACUGGCGCUCUUAUAUCAAG